AUUGAACGCUGGCGGCAGGCCUAACACAUGCAAGUCGAACGGUAACAGGAAGCAGCUUGCUGCUUUGCUGACGAGUGGCGGACGGGUGAGUAAUGUCUGGGAAACUGCCUGAUGGAGGGGGAUAACUACUGGAAACGGUAGCUAAUACCGCAUAACGUCGCAAGACCAAAGAGGGGGACCUUAGGGCCUCUUGCCAUCGGAUGUGCCCAGAUGGGAUUAGCUAGUAGGUGGGGUAACGGCUCACCUAGGCGACGAUCCCUAGCUGGUCUGAGAGGAUGACCAGCCACACUGGAACUGAGACACGGUCCAGACUCCUACGGGAGGCAGCAGUGGGGAAUAUUGCACAAUGGGCGCAAGCCUGAUGCAGCCAUGCCGCGUGUAUGAAGAAGGCCUUCGGGUUGUAAAGUACUUUCAGCGGGGAGGAAGGGAGUAAAGUUAAUACCUUUGCUCAUUGACGUUACCCGCAGAAGAAGCACCGGCUAACUACGUG
rnacentral:rRNA from 1 species